UUCCGUAGUAGCUGCGAGGUGAACUGGAAUCAAGCCUAUUGCCAAUUCUUAUGUUUCGUACAAUAAGAGAUGAGGUGUAAAGGAGUUUCGUGUUGAACGGACGCACGGCCUAAAUAUUAUCGAGUGAGUUCUCAAAGAAGGUGAAAAGCCUGUUUGGUUGUGUCUGUCCGUUGAAUCGGAAUUCUUACGAGUCUAGUUGUUUGAGAGUACAACUUAAAGCUGGUGGUAAAUUUCAUCAAAGGCUAAAUAUAUGAGGGGACUAAUAGCGAACAAGUACCAUGAGGGAAAGUUGAAAAGAACUCUGACGAGAGAGUUCAACAGUGCGUGAAACCAUAUUGAGUAAAACAGAUAACUGUGUCGUUAUGCGGUGUGUCUAUCAACAGUAUGUCGGGUGUUGCGAUGCGGCGAGUGUGAGCUGUUUAUUCAGACGAGCGCUCGUUGUUAGCAUAGCUCGUUGUUCUGUGUACUAGUGCACAUCCAAUCAUUGAGAAACUAUGCUGCUGCGGCAUCGGUGCACUUCAGUCCCCGCCUAGCGGGAAGUUGUGCGCUGGGCUCUGCUGGCGGCGUAGUUUAGCUGUGUGACGGCUGUGGGAUGCGUUUGUCGAAUGUGCCUGCUUUGUCUGCGAAUUGGUUUAUUCCUUUUUGCGGUGAGUAUGGUACAGUAGGCGAGUGUCUCGCCAUCAAUGGUUGACAUUAGUUAUUUGACCCGUUUUGAAACACGGACCAAGGAGUUCAAAUGGCACGCGAGUCAUUGGGUUUAAUCACCCGAAGGCGAAGUGAAAUGCAAACGUAUCGUUACUCGUAGAAUCUACGAUUCAGCGAUAAGCUACUCAUGCUUUCUGGCAUUUGUAGACUAAAAGCGUGAUGUUUGAGACCCGAAGUUA
rnacentral:rRNA from 1 species